AUAGCAUGAAACCAUCAAAAAUUAUAGAUACGUUGGAGACGUAUCAUAGUCAUCAACACGUGUAUGCCAGAUGUUCAGAACAUCCACCGACGAUGCUAGAGGCGGUGGUGCACCAAGCGGUGCAUCAAGGACAUAAGACUUUUGGGAAGCCAUGAGGGUAAUCCUCAUAUUAUGGACCAAGUCUGCAAAGUUGCUUCCAUCAUCUUUCAGCUCAUCUUUCUCUAGGAACGAACUAAAAUUCACGGGAUCUACUACGCGAGCCAUUGACCUACAACAUAAUUUGCAAAUACAACUUAGACUACUGUUCAACAUAUAAAUUCCAUUAAUCAUAUUACUUAAGAACUCCCACUCAACUCAACAUCCAUCGGGUUGUUUCAGUAUGACAUGAUCCAAAUUCACCAACUCAAGUCCGAUCAUCACAUGAGAUGAGGUAGUUUCAAUGGUGAACAUCUCCAUGUUGAUCAUAUAUAUUAUAUGACUCAUGUUCGAUCUUUCGGCCUCGUGUGUUCCGAGGCCAUGUCUAUACAUGCUAGGCUUGUGAUUUUCACCCAAGUGUUGUGCAUGUGCAAAACUGGCUUACAACCGUUGUAUACAAACGUAGAGUCUAUCGCACCCAAUUAUCAUGUGGUGCCUCAAAAUGACGAACCUUCACAACGGUGCACACUUAGGGAGUUUUAUCUUGAAAUUUUAGUGAGGGGACAUUUUAUAAUUCCACCAUUGUUCUAAGAAAAAUAAAAUGCAUAAAAGUAUUAACUUCACAUGCAAAUCAUAAUACUGACAUGAUAUGGACAUCAUCAUCUUGUGCUUUUGAUCUCCAUCUCCAAAGCACCAGCAUGAUCUCCAUCGUCACCGGCUUGACACCACGAUCUCCAUCAUCAUGUCUCCAUUGAGGUUGUUGCGCCAACUAUGCUUCUAGCACUAUUGCUAACUCAUAGCGAUCAAGUAAAGCAAAAAGGAACAAAUAAUUAAAUUGAACCCUAUGGCUCCAGUCGGUUGCCUUACUCAUCGAUAUGCAAGUUAUGAUAAUCUAUACAAAAGAUGAUCAUCUCAUACAUCACAGAUAUCUCAUCAUGUACUUGGCCAUAUUAUAUCACCACAUACCCUGGAAAAACAAGUUAUACGUCCUCUACUUUGUUGUUGCAUGUUUUACGUGGCUCCUAUGGGCGACUAGCAAGAACCGUUCUCACCUAGGCAUAAACCUGGCUAUGACGCCAAUGUUGGUUAACGUUGCAUGGGAAACAAAAAAUUGCAUACACUCACCAAGAUCAUAUAUGGAGUUCAACAUCUACGAGAAGGAAGGUGUAUCUACAUUACCUUCUAGAUCUCUAAGCGGAAGCAUUGAGAAACGCGGUUGAUGUAGUCAAACAUCUUCGCGAUCCAAUCACGAUCCGUCUCAUGAUCCAAUCACGAAUGUCCCGAUCAAGAGCCGAAUGGACGGCAUCUCCGCGUUCACCACACGUUCAUCUCGAUGACGCCUUCUUCACCUCGAUCCAGUGAGUGAUGGUGAAGUAGAGGCUGGGUUCUCCGGCAGCACAAUGGCUGGCGAUGGUGGUGGUGGAGCAAUCUCGGCAGGGCUUCACCAAGCAUCACUAUGAUCAUGACGACAAAGAAAUACUACAACAGAGAGAGGAGGGUAGCAUCAUUG
rnacentral:lncRNA from 1 species